rnacentral:tRNA from 3 species
GGGUGGUUUCCAGAGCGGCCAAAUGGGGCAGACUGUAAAUCUGCUGUCUUUCGACUUCGGUGGUUCGAAUCCAUCACCACCCACCU